UGAGGAACAUGACCUUCGGCGGGGGAUAGCCGGCCCAACGGCCGGGUAAUACCGCGUACGAUCUUUUGGGGACAUCCCCGAAUGGUGAAAGCAGCAAUGCGCCGAUGGAGUGCCUCGCGGCCUAUCAGCUAGUUGGUGAGGUAACGGCUCACCAAGGCAACGACGGGUAGCUGGUCUGAGAGGAUGGCCAGCCACAUUGGGACUGAGACACCGGCCCAGACCUCCGUACGGGGAGCAG
rnacentral:rRNA from 1 species